GUGGAGUGGAGUCUUUUUCCGGUCAAAAUGUGAUGGCGAUCGAACAUGUGGAAGAAACCAGCCAUGCAACCCAUUUGCUUCCGUUCGUGAACAAUGGCCGACGUCUUCAUUUUCCGGCGGUAGAGCACAGGUACAGUGAGCUAGCUUUUCAUGGUGGAGCAUGUGGACCAAUGAUGGUCAGGUGCCCCAUAGGCCAUUAUAGAGAGAUUAACGAGCUAGAUCGCUGGUUUGAAACAUGGUAGUUAACUCGGCCGCAUCACCUCCUGAACCGGAGUAUUUUUCAGCUAAAGGGGCUGGCUGAUAUUCUGCGUAGAAUAGAAGCAUUCCUUUACUAUGGCCCACAUCAGAUUUCACAACGGUCCAAUCUCUAGCACACGUAUGACGACGUAUUAUUCUUUCCUUCUUACCCACAUCAAUCAACAAAUUUGAUUCAUAUGGUGAAAAAAUGUAUUAAUAUUUAUAUAUAUAUAAAAUAAAAUAAAAAAUAUUUUAAUAUUUUUUAAUUACUAAAUUAAUUGAAGGAGGGUGAACUAUUUAGAUAAUUAUAAGUUAUUAACUCUUAUUAAACAAGUACUAAUAUAAAAUAUUCUGGUUUUUAAGAAUAUUUGCUCUUAAUUUCUAGUUUUAGUAGAAUAAAAAUUUCCCCCCACUGUACUAGGCCAGCAAUUAUUAUAUACCUUAUAGUGAAAUUUACAAUCCUCACGUACGAAUUACGAUAUACAUGUGCAUAUAUCUAAUGAUUAGCUGGUCCAAUGUCACAUAUAUUAAUAAUUUCAGAAGAAAAAACAAUUUAAUAUG